rnacentral:rRNA from 1 species
AACGAACGCUGGCGGCAUGCCUAACACAUGCAAGUCGAACGAGACCUUCGGGUCUAGUGGCGCACGGGUGCGUAACGCGUGGGAACCUGCCCUUAGGUUCGGAAUAACUCCCCGAAAGGGGUGCUAAUACCGGAUAAUGUCUUCGGACCAAAGAUUUAUCGCCUUUGGAUGGGCCCGCGUUGGAUUAGCUAGUUGGUAGGGUAAAAGCCUACCAAGGCGACGAUCCAUAGCUGGUCUGAGAGGAUGAUCAGCCACACUGGGACUGAGACACGGCCCAGACUCCUACGGGAGGCAGCAGUGGGGAAUAUUGGACAAUGGGCGAAAGCCUGAUCCAGCAAUGCCGCGUGAGUGAUGAAGGCCUUAGGGUUGUAAAGCUCCUUUACCCGGGAUGAUAAUGACAGUACCGGGAGAAUAAGCGCCGGCUAACUCCGUG